rnacentral:rRNA from 1 species
UACGGGGGGGGCAAGCGUUGUUCGGAAUUACUGGGCGUAAAGGGCUCGUAGGCGGCCAACUAAGUCAGACGUGAAAUCCCUCGGCUUAACCGGGGAACUGCAUCUGAUACUGGAUGGCUUGAGUUCGGGAGAGGGAUGCGGAAUUCCAGGUGUAGCGGUGAAAUGCUUAGAUAUCUGGAGGAACACCGGUGGCGAAGGCGGCAUCCUGGACCGACACUGACGCUGAGGAGCGAAAGCCAGGGGAGCAAACGGG